rnacentral:piRNA from 1 species
UAAAGCCAUAUUGAUUCACCUCUGCUCAU